rnacentral:rRNA from 1 species
AGAGUUUGAUCCUGGCUCAGGAUGAACGCUGACAGAAUGCUUAACACAUGCAAGUCUACUUGAACUUCGGUUUGGGUGGCGGACGGGUGAGUAACGCGUAAAGAACUUGCCUCACAGUUAGGGACAACAUUUGGAAACGAAUGCUAAUACCUGAUAUUAUGAUUUUAGGGCAUCCUAAGAUUAUGAAAGCUAUAUGCGCUGUGAGAGAGCUUUGCGUCCCAUUAGCUAGUUGGAGAGGUAACGGCUCACCAAGGCGAUGAUGGGUAGCCGGCCUGAGAGGGUGAACGGCCACAAGGGGACUGAGACACGGCCCUUACUCCUACGGGAGGCAGCAGUGGGGAAUAUUGGACAAUGGACCAAAAGUCUGAUCCAGCAAUUCUGUGUGCACGAUGACGUUUUUCGGAAUGUAAAGUGCUUUCAGUUGGGAAGAAAAAAAUGACGGUACCAACAGAAGAAGUGACGGCUAAAUACGUGCCAGCAGCCGCGGUAAUACGUAUGUCACAAGCGUUAUCCGGAUUUAUUGGGCGUAAAGCGCGUCUAGGUGGUUAUGUAAGUCUGAUGUGAAAAUGCAGGGCUCAACUCUGUAUUGCGUUGGAAACUGCAUGACUAGAGUACUGGAGAGGUAAGCGGAACUACAAGUGUAGAGGUGAAAUUCGUAGAUAUUUGUAGGAAUGCCGAUGGGGAAGCCAGCUUACUGGACAGAUACUGACGCUAAAGCGCGAAAGCGUGGGUAGCAAACAGGAUUAGAUACCCUGGUAGUCCACGCCGUAAACGAUGAGUGCUAAGUGUUGGAGGGUUUCCGCCCUUCAGUGCUGCAGUUAACGCAUUAAGCACUCCGCCUGGGGAGUACGACCGCAAGGUUGAAACUCAAAG